GUUGUGCAGGUUCAGAGAUCAGAGAGAACUCAGCAGGGUACAGGAAGAGUACAGAGUGGUGUAAUAGCUAGUGUGGACAUGUAAAUGUAAAGAGAUAAGGUUUAUGUAUAGUGUAUAGCAUGGUGCUUGACUAUAAGAGUUGUAAUCCCUUUGUGGAGUCACAUGAUCAGUUUAUGUAUGUUUUUUUAUUGUUGUAUGUUUAUGAGAAAAACCAGGCUUCACAUUAUGAGAUUGAUCCGCCUAGAGCCAUGAGGAGCUCUAGUAGGGAUUGGUAGAGCACAGAGAGAGUGCAUGCACAGGUUAAGCCUUGGAAUGAAGAAAAGUUUUAUGUUUUUACAGCAAAUGUAUGAUCAUGUAUGGGAUUUCACAGGUAUACAGACAGGAUAG
rnacentral:lncRNA from 1 species